GUGUCGCUCCUGCUGCAGCUGAAGCCGACAACCACUGAAGCCAAGGGCUCAGCAGUGGUAAAAAUAUGAACUGAAGGUAGCCGGGUCUGUAUACUGGAUAACACCUGUCAGCUGGAGGGAAAAGAAGCAGCAGACAAGCUGACUGGAAGUGACAUUUGACCUUCAUGAGGCAGGCCAGAGGAGAUCCGAUAAUCUUAUAAAGCAGUGAGGGAUUUACACUCCCUGCUCCACUGAAUCCGCAGAUGAAAUGAAUAUUUGUCCCAGCAGACGUUCCUCAGAGUGAAGAGGCAAACAGCUAUUCCUUUACACAGCAACAAGACAACAUCACGACAGAAGAACGAUGCCGAGUCUAAAAGCAGCAACAUCAAAGCUCUGGACCGUGAAAAAUCACUAUGCUAUGUUUCAUAAUCAAUGUGUGGAUGAGUUUUAAUGUCCUCUAACAAAAUUCAGUGAACCUGAGAGUAAAUCAUUUCAGAAGCAUUGCUAAUACUUUAAGAUAUAGCAAACUGUAAAGCCAAGAGGGGUAGAAAAUGUUCUCUCUUAUAAUCUAUUUGGACAACUUUUCUGUUUUUAAACCUUUCCUAUUUUUCAGAAUCUCAUCAGCUGCCGGAGGCAAGAAAAGAAAAGUAGAAAAAGAGAUUUGGAACAUCAGAAGGAUGUUGCACCUAUGUACAUUACUGCAGUAAAUCCACAUUGCUGUGAGAUGUGAUGAUACAGGAAUAGUUCAUAAAUUUAUAUGCAGAAACAGCACAUGAUGUCAACUAUAAACUAAUAUUUGUUGUAUGUCGUAUGACAUGUUUUCAAACUGUAAAUUUGUGCAUUCACAUCUCUGUCAUCCAAUCACAGCCUCCAUUAACUAAAUUCAUCUUAUUAGCUCCCGUUACCUACAGCAACAAGUUCACUUGAAUAAAGCAAACAAACUGCUGCUGUACUAAAAAUCCACACACAGAAAUCUUUUGCAAACUCAGUUGGAUUUAAUUCUGAUUCUUUCUUCUUUAUACGGCUGCUUAUUAAACAAAUCCUAGACGUGGACAAAUGCUCACCUUUUUUAA